UAGUGUAAYUUUUUAUCCUUACAAGAUAUUUUUAUACAUUUGUAUUUACACUAA
rnacentral:tRNA from 1 species